GGUCGUGUAGAUCAAUGGUAGAUCGCAAGAUUACGGGUCUUGAGGUUGCGGGUUCAAGUCCCGUCACGAUCA